UACGAGGGGGCAAGCGUUGUUCGGAAUUAUUGGGCGUAAAGCGUGCGUAGGCGGUUUGUUAAGUCUGCUGUGAAAUCCCGGGCUCAACCUGGGAAUGGCAGUGGAUACUGGCAAGCUAGAGUGUGUCAGAGGAUGGUGGAAUUCCCGGUGUAGCGGUGAAAUGCGUAGAGAUCGGGAGGAACAUCAGUGGCGAAGGCGGCCAUCUGGGACAACACUGACGCUGAGGCACGAAGCGUGGGAGCAAACAGG
rnacentral:rRNA from 1 species